rnacentral:lncRNA from 1 species
UUCCUUCCUUCCUUCCUUCCUUCCUUCCUUCCUUCCUUCCUUCCUCCCUUGUUUGCUCGCCCCCCCUCCUGCUUCCUUGACUUUUUGUCGGUUCCCCGCCGCUCUCCGCCCCGCCCAUCGCCCCGCCCCUCUGCUCCCGCAGGCGGUGCGGAGCCACACGCGCACCGAGUGUAAGUGCCAUGGGCUUUCGGGUUCCUGUGCUCUGCGCACCUGCUGGCAGAAGCUGCCACCGUUCCGCGAGGUGGGCGCACGGCUGCUGGAGCGCUUCCACGGCGCCUCACGCGUCAUGGGCACCAACGACGGCAAAGCUCUGUUGCCUGCGGUCCGCACCCUCAAGCCUCCCGGCCGAGCCGAUCUCCUCUACGCAGCCGAUUCACCCGACUUCUGCGCCCCCAACCGGCGCACCGGUUCACCGGGCACGCGCGGCCGCGCCUGCAACAGCAGUGCCCCGGACCUUAGCGGCUGCGACCUGUUGUGCUGCGGUCGCGGACACCGCCAGGAGAGCGUACAGCUCGAGGAGAACUGCCUGUGCCGCUUCCACUGGUGCUGCGUGGUGCAAUGCCACCGCUGCCGCGUGCGCAAGGAGCUCAGCCUGUGCCUCUGACUCGCCACUGGUCUUGGAACUGCUUGCAUUCAAUUUGCAGGACUACUAGAUUCCAGCAGGGGGCACUGUCUGUGUCCAGCAGCUCCCUAGGAAAAGUACCUAUUAGGCCUUGGGAAAUUACAGGGGCCAGACAGGAACUUGGGGUUUACACCAGCUCAAGAAAGCCGGGGUGGGGGGGCAUACCCCUCCAGCAUUCCCCAGAAAGGCCCUCUGCUACUUUCUGCAGGAGACUAAGCAGGAUCUCCCUCCCUUUGGCCUUCCAGAUGGAAAUAAAAAAGCCAGACUCUGGCCUCCAGAAAUAGUACUCCUCAGAAUUACUGGGGUGGAUGGGUGAGUUUAGUAUUAAUAAAGACAUUUAAAUCCACAGUUUGAGAGGAAGUUGGGAUAGGAUAGAGGGUCAGGAUAUGGUGGCCCCGGUAGAGUUAGCGUUUCAUUCUGAGACUAUCUCAUUCCACCGGUUACCAAGGCAGAAAGGAGUGAGGGAGGAAUUGUGGAAAGACAGAACGGGGUGAGGAAACCUCGCAUCCCUCCUUUAGCCCUUUUUGUUCUUUCUUGACUCUUGAGAACAUGUCCCAUUUUAAAGGGUCACAAAGAGCCCAGAAGUUUCUAGUAGUGUGCUUAGUUCUCAGGCCUUUGUGUUAAUUCUUCGGGCAUUAUGUCUGUUUCAGCGACUUUUGAAGAAAUUAAAGGUCAUGAGAUUAAAAGCUCGCCAUAAACUGUAAAAUACAACGGAAACUACUUGUGAGGAAACCCUGCUUUUGUUACCAUCAAAACUAGCCACCCAUAAGUUGUUUCUGA